ACCAGGGCUUCGGCCCUGGGGACAGCGGCGAACGGGUGAGUAACACGUGGAUAACCUGCCCUCGGCACCGGAAUAGCCCGGGGAAACCCGGAUUAAUGCCGGAUAGCCCCACAUCCCUGCGGGGAACGUGGGAAAAGGUAGCUUCGGCCUCUGGCCGAGGAGGGGUCCGCGGUGGAUUAGCUUGUUGGCGGGGUAACGGCCCACCAAGGCGACGAUCCAUAGCUGGUCUGAGAGGACGAUCAGCCACACUGGGACUGAGACACGGCCCAGACUCCUACGGGAGGCAGCAGUGGGGAAUCUUGCGCAAUGGGCGAAAGCCUGACGCAGCGACGCCGCGUGCGGGAAGAAGGCCUUAGGG
rnacentral:rRNA from 1 species